CCUACGGGAGGCAGCAGUGGGGAAUAUUGCACAAUGGGGGGAACCCUGAUGCAGCGACGCCGCGUGGGUGAAGGAGUAUUUCGGUAUGUAAAGCCCUAUCAGCAGGGAAGAACAAUGACGGUACCUGACGAAGAAGCACCGGCUAAAUACGUGCCAGCAGCCGCGGUAAUACGUCUGGUGCAAGCGUUAUCCGGAGUUACUGGGGGUAAAGGGAGCGCAGGCGGCGCGUUAAGCCUGGUGUGAAAGCCCGGGGCCCAACCGCGGGACUGCAUUGGGAACUGGCGCGCUGGAGUGCCGGAGGGGUAGGCGGAAUGCGUAGUGUAGCGGUGAAAUGCGUAGAUAUUAGGAGGAACACCAGUGGCGAAGGCGGCCUACGGGACGGUGACUGACGCUGAGGCUCGAAAGCGUGGGGAGCAAACAGGAUUAGAUACCCUUGUAGUC
rnacentral:rRNA from 1 species